AGAUUGAACGCUGGCGGCAUGCCUAACACAUGCAAGUCGAACGGGAGUAGCAAUACUCUAGUGGCGGACGGGUGAGGAAUACGUAGGAAUUUGCCCUUAAGUGGGGGAUAACCCGGGGAAACCCGGAUUAAUACCGCAUGACCUCGAAAGAGCAAAGUGGGGGAUCGCAAGACCUCACGCUUUUGGAGAAGCCUACGUCGGAUUAGCUAGUUGGUGAGGUAAUGGCUCACCAAGGCGACGACGGGUAGCCGGCCUGAGAGGGUGACCGGCCACACUGGGACUGAGACACGGCCCAGACUCCUACGGGAGGCAGCAGUGGGGAAUAUUGCACAAUGGGCGCAAGCCUGAUGCAGCAACGCCGCGUGAGGGACGAAGGCCUCGGUUGUAACCUGUUUUACGUAGGGAAGAAGCGAAAGUGACGGUACCUGCAGAAAAGCACCGGACUAACUACGAGCCAGCAGCCG
rnacentral:rRNA from 1 species